GACGAACGCUGGCGGCGUGCUUAACACAUGCAAGUCGAACGAAGAGCGAUGGAAGCUUGCUUCUAUCAAUCUUAGUGGCGAACGGGUGAGAAACGCGUAAUCAACCUGCCCUUCAGAGGGGGACAACAGUUGGAAACGACUGCUAAUACCGCAUACGAUCUAAUCUCGGCAUCGAGGAUAGAUGAAAGGUGGCCUCUACAUGUAAGCUAUCACUGAAGGAGGGGAUUGCGUCUGAUUAGCUAGUUGGAGGGGUAACGGCCCACCAAGGCGAUGAUCAGUAGCCGGUCUGAGAGGAUGAACGGCCACAUUGGGACUGAGACACGGCCCAGACUCCUACGGGAGGCAGCAGUGGGGAAUCUUCCGCAAUGGACGAAAGUCUGACGGAGCAACGCCGCGUGAGUGAUGACGGCCUUCGGGUUGUAAAGCUCUGUUAAUCGGGACGAAAGGCCUUCUUGCGAAUAGUGAGAAGGAUUGACGGUACCGGAAUAGAAAGCCACGGCUAACUACGUG
rnacentral:rRNA from 1 species